rnacentral:rRNA from 1 species
GUGCCAGCCGCCGCGGUAAUACGUAGGCAGCAAGCGUUGUUCGGAGUUACUGGGCGUAAAGAGUGCGUAGGCGGUCCUCUAAGUUCGGUGUGAAAUCUCCCGGCUCAACUGGGAGGGUGCGCCGGAAACUGGAGGGCUCGAGUAUGGGAGAGGAAAGCGGAAUUCCUGGUGUAGCGGUGAAAUGCGUAGAUAUCAGGAGGAACACCUGCGGUGUAGACGGCUUUCUGGACCAUGACUGACGCUGAGGCACGAAAGCGUGGGGAGCAAACAGGAUUAGAUACCCUGGUAGUCCACGCCCUAAACGAUGCAUACUUGGUGUGGGCCGUUCAGUCGGUCUGUGCCGGAGCUAACGCGUUAAGUAUGCCGCCUGGGGAGUACGGUCGCAAGGCUGAAACUUAAAUGAAUUGGCGGGG